AGUUGAUUUAGAAUACUUUUAUAAGUAUCAUCCCCAUGUUGCUAUCACGUUUUUAGCCAUUGGAUCUACUUUUUGAAUACAAAUAGCCCUUGGAUCAAACACUAUUCCACCUACCACCACCUACGACCACCUACCACCAUCAUCUCAACCUCACAUCUCUCCAUCCAAGGGCUAAAAACACACAAGUAUCACCCAAAAGUAUUCUAGCCCUACUCAUAUAUAGAGCUAGGCUACUAUGCUUUCGAAAGUACGGUUGCCUCCGUGCUUGUAAGUUGUUUUCGAUGAUGGGACAUUCGAUUCGGUGAUUGGUUCCAAUAAACUUGAUCUAUGCUAUUGGAACUAUCUAGAAACCAAAUUUUAUAAUUUUUUGACUUCGUUUGUCUAGUGAACGAGUAGCCUCAAAAUGAACGGCUGAAAAUAAAAAUCUCAUAAAAAAUAGUGAUAAAUGACUUAAAUUUCAAAUCGGAAGUAUUGAUCUUGCUAUUAAUGUUAAGUAGAAUUUUCUAUUAAAUUUUUAUAUAAAUUGGAUACUUUUAUACCGUUGAACCUAAAAACAUGCCACAUCGACCGUUAAAAUAGUCAUUUUUGAGACUUUUUGAUCGGUUGGUAAAUGAUGUCAAAAAAUUAUAAAAUUUGGUUUCUAGAUAGUUUCUAUAGGGUAGAUUAUACUUAACGGAACCGAUCGUCGAAUCGAAUGUCUUAUCAUCGAAAACAACUUACAAAUAUGGAGGUCUCCGUACUUUCAAAAGUAUAGGAGACGUACU
rnacentral:lncRNA from 1 species